rnacentral:lncRNA from 1 species
GGCAAGAACUAAUAUUCCAGAUAACGAUAUUUAAUAUUAAACCUGAACAUCUCUGAAGAAUAAUUAUGACAUGUCCUUCUACGAAAUUUGAACAUUAAAUACGUGUGUUUGUUUGUUGAGUGCUUUACCCGCACGGCUAUUUUUAAACGGAUUUUAAAAGUUACUGGUUUUGACAUUUUCUCUAAAUCCAAUGACCAUUAAAUU